UACGGAGGGUGCGAGCGUUGUUCGGAAUCACUGGGCGUAAAGCGCGUGUAGGCGGCCUUUUAAGUCUGAUGUGAGAGCCCGGGGCUCACCCCCGGAAGUGCAUUGGAAACUGGGAGGCUGGAGUACCGGAGAGGAAGGUGGAAUUCCUGGUGUAGCGGUGAAAUGCGUAGAUAUCAGGAGGAACACCGGUGGCGAAGGCGGCCUUCUGGACGGAUACUGACGCUGAGGCACGAAGGCCAGGGGAGCAAACGGG
rnacentral:rRNA from 1 species